GUAGGGUGCGAGCGUUGUCCGGAAUUAUUGGGCGUAAAGGGCUCGUAGGCGGUUUGUCGCGUCGGGGGUGAAAACCCAGGGCUUAACCCUGGGCUGGCUUCCGAUACGGGCAGACUAGAGGUAUGCAGGGGAGAACGGAAUUCCUGGUGUAGCGGUGAAAUGCGCAGAUAUCAGGAGGAACACCGGUGGCGAAGGCGGUUCUCUGGGCAUUACCUGACGCUGAGGAGCGAAAGUGUGGGGAGCGAACAGGAUUAGAUACCCUGGUAGUCCACACCGUAAACGUUGGGCGCUAGGUGUGGGGUCCAUUCCACGGAUUCCGUGCCGCAGCUAACGCAUUAAGCGCCCCGCCUGGGGAGUACGGCCGCAAGGCUA
rnacentral:rRNA from 1 species